rnacentral:lncRNA from 10 species
CCUGAGUUUGGCCCCUCCUUGGAGACUCCUUGACCUCCUUGACAUGGGGCAAAAGGCAUCUCGAUGUCUCUGCUUGUCUCGGGGAGGGUGAGGAAGGCUGGGAAUCUUACCAAGGUCGUAGAUGCAAUGGGGGUAAAAUGAUGUUGAAACCAAAGGGUGCUGGGAGGACCAUUUGUACUGGGAAUCAAAGCCUGAUCUCAGGGGUAAUGUUCAGCUGAGGAAAAAUCUGGGGCUGGUGUUGUGAAACCAGUAGGAAGGCCCUCAGGACUCCGAGGAGAUGAAGAGAGAAUGGAUGUCAGCUGUGGAUGUCAGCAGGCAGAUCUUUUCAUAAGAGUAUGAGAAAACCACUUUCCGAGACACUGGGAAGCUGGAGGCUGAUUUACUAUUUGGUGACAUCUGGUGCUGACUUCACAUUCUUCUGCUGGAUAAAGAUAGGACCUUACUGAAUUUGGUUCAAGAACUAGUAGAUCCUAAUAUUUGUUAAACUUUUAAAAAAUAGAAAUACAUGAUUAUUUGUAUAAGUUGUUUAAGAAUAGUGAUGUAAGUGUGAGUAUAACACAACUUAGGAAGAAUUUAACCACAACUGACACUUAGGAAGAAUUUAACCAUUUCUCAGGCCUACCAGAACUCUGCCAGGGAAAUGAGUUACCAGCCUGUGAUUCCUGUUAGGGAAGCAAGGGGCCAGGAAAAGAUUGAAGAUAUGCUGCAUCUGCCCUGUUCUUAGAAACCAUUCUUGCUGCUUAGUUUAAGUUUAGUGUCUUUGGUUAAAUAAAGCAAAAACAUGCAGUUCAUAUAUUUGCAAAUGUGUGUGUAU